AGCAUCCUAACAUGCCUACCAGUCUCCUCUUGUGUUAAA
rnacentral:sRNA from 1 species